GUAGUCGUGGCCGAGUGGUUAAAGCGACAGACUUGAAAUCUGUCAGUGUCUACCCGCUCAGGUUCGAACCCUGCCAACUACG